CCUACGGGGGGCAGCAGUGGGGAAUAUUGGACAAUGGGGGGAACCCUGAUCCAGCCAUGCCGCGUGUGUGAAGAAGGCCCUCGGGUUGUAAAGCACUUUCAGUGAGGAAGAACGCCUGGUGGUUAAUACCCAUCAGGAAAGACAUCACUCACAGAAGAAGCACCGGCUAACUCCGUGCCAGCAGCCGCGGUAAUACGGAGGGUGCGAGCGUUAAUCGGAAUUACUGGGCGUAAAGCGCGCGUAGGUGGCUUGAUAAGCCGGUUGUGAAAGCCCCGGGCUCAACCUGGGAACGGCAUCCGGAACUGCCAAGCUAGAGUGCAGGAGAGGAAGGUAGAAUUCCCGGUGUAGCGGUGAAAUGCGUAGAGAUCGGGAGGAAUACCAGUGGCGAAGGCGGCCUUCUGGACUGACACUGACACUGAGGUGCGAAAGCGUGGGUAGCAAACAGGAUUAGAUACCCUUGUAGUC
rnacentral:rRNA from 1 species